AGUGAACGCUGGCGGUAGGCCUAACACAUGCAAGUCGAACGGCAGCACAGUAAGAGCUUGCUCUUACGGGUGGCGAGUGGCGGACGGGUGAGGAAUACAUCGGAAUCUACUUUUUCGUGGGGGAUAACGUAGGGAAACUUACGCUAAUACCGCAUACGACCUACGGGUGAAAGCAGGGGAUCUUCGGACCUUGCGCGAUUGAAUGAGCCGAUGUCGGAUUAGCUAGUUGGCGGGGUAAAGGCCCACCAAGGCGACGAUCCGUAGCUGGUCUGAGAGGAUGAUCGGCCACACUGGAACUGGGACACGGUCCAGACUCCUACGGGAGGCAGCAGUGGGGAAUAUUGGACAAUGGGCGCAAGCCUGAUCCAGCCAUACCGCGUGUGUGAAGGAGGCCUUCGGGUUGUAAAGCCCUUUUGUUGGGAAAGAAAAGCAGCAGGUUAAUACCCCGCUGUUCUGACGGUACCCAAAGAAUAAGCACCGGCUAACUUCGUG
rnacentral:rRNA from 1 species